rnacentral:rRNA from 1 species
UACGUAGGCAGCGAGCGUUGUUCGGAGUUACUGGGCGUAAAGCGCGCGUAGGCGGACCUGCAAGUCGGGGGGUGAAAGCCCGAGGCUCAACCUCGGAACUGCCUUCGAUACUGCGGGUCUCGAGUCCGGGAGAGGUGAGUGGAAUUCCUAGUGUAGAGGUGAAAUUCGUAGAUAUUAGGAAGAACACCAGUGGCGAAGGCGGCUCACUGGCCCGGUACUGACGCUGAGGCGCGAAAGCGUGGGGAGCAAACAGG